rnacentral:lncRNA from 1 species
UAAAUACAAAAUAAAUUCAAUUAUUGAAUGCCGAAUCAUUAGUUAAAUGACAUGUCAUGGUACAUUUUAUCAUCACCGGUAUUUAUUUGUAUUAUAACAAACACAUGUGUAAUUCCUGCACAUGGAAUAUUUUAUCAUCAACGAUAUUUAUUUGAAUCAUAACAACCACAUGCAUAAUUCCUACAUUCCGGUUUUCGAGGAAGCACACACUUAAUUCUUGUUACACAAUGAGAGUCCUCACGACAUUCAAACCUUGCUAUAAAUUAUAAAAGAGAAGAUAAAAAUGUUACUAACUAAAGGGGAUAAGUGGUUAGGUAAGAAGUAAAGAAUAAAAUUGUAUAAUAAUGAAAAAUGAUUUACCGGCAUCGUUCAUUGUAAUGAAAAAUAGUGCAAGAAAGAGGAUCAUAAUACAAACAAAGUUACUGACUUUAGCCAUAUUUUCCGCUUGUGCAUGAAACAUACCAAAAAAGAUUU